UACGUAGGGGGCAAGCGUUGUUCGGAAUUACUGGGCGUAAAGGGCGCGUAGGCGGCACGGCACGUCGGGAGUGAAAGCCCGGGGCUCAACCCCGGAAUGUCUCUCGAGACUGCCGAGCUAGAGUGCGGAAGAGGCACCUGGAAUUCCCAGUGUAGCGGUGAAAUGCGUAGAUAUUGGGAAGAACACCAGAGGCGAAGGCGGGGUGCUGGGCCGACACUGACGCUGAGGCGCGAAAGCCAGGGGAGCGAACGGG
rnacentral:rRNA from 1 species